AUCGCAGGCGGCAAUGCAAGUCAGGUGUAAAAGGCAAAGGCUCAACCUUUGUAAGCAUCUGAAACUGUAUAGCUUGAGAAGUGUAGAGGCAAGUGGAAUUUUUAGUGUAGCGGUGAAACGCGUAGAUAUUAAAAAGAAUACCGGUGGCGAAGGCGACUUGCUGAGCACAAUCUGACGCUGAGGAACGAAAGCGUGGGGAGCAAACA
rnacentral:rRNA from 1 species